rnacentral:rRNA from 1 species
ACGCGUAUGAAGGACAAGCUGAAAGACUUUUCUCAAUGACGUAAGUGGUGGUGCAUGGUCGUUCUUAGUUCGUGGAGUGAUUUGUCUGGUUUAUUCCGAUAACGAGCGAGACCCCGGCGUUCCUAAUAGGGGCGGAAGCCCGGCUCGCGGCCCUCGGGUCGCUUGCUAGCAUCCGCCUCGCAAUCGCUUCUUAGACGGAUCAGAGCCGAUAAGGUUCUUGAAAUGGGUUAAUAACAGGUCAGUCAUGCCCUUAGAUGUUCUGGGCCGCACGCGCGUUACAAUGGUAGGCUUAAAGAGUGCCUUUUGCGGGCGUUUCCGCGGCCGACGGGUCGCGGUAACCCCUAGUCUCUCCCUUGACUGGGCCAGACUAUUGCAAUUAUUGGUCUCAACSAGAAUUUUAGUAGGUUUGAGAAAUU